AAUUCGUGAUGUGGACAUAUAUUCGUUAGAUCCUUGAACCUCUCCCAACAAGCCUGGAAGGUCUCGUUACCUUUCUGCAUAAACUGGCUGAUAUGCUCCUGCAAGU